UACGAAGGGGGCGAGCGUUUGUUCGGAUUUACUGGGGCGUAAAGGGCGCGUAGGCGGCCAUCUUUGUCAGGCGUGAAAGCCCCGGGCUCAACCUGGGAACUGCGUCUGGGACGGGGUGGCGUUAGGAGAUCGGGGAGAGGAGCGUGGAAUUCCCAGUGUAGAGGUGAAAUUCGUAGAUAUUGGGAAGAACACCGGUGGCGAAGGCGGCGCUCUGGACCGAUACGUGACGCUGAGGAGGCG
rnacentral:rRNA from 1 species